UCCAGAACCAAGUACUACCUAAUCAUGAGUUCCCACCAGCAGAAGCAGCCUUGCACUGUACCCCCUCAGCUGCACCAGCAGCAGGUGAAACAGCCUUGCCAGCCACCACCCCAGGAACCUUGUGCUCCCAAAACUAAGGAGCCCUGUCACCCUAUUCCUGAGCCCUGCAACCCCAAGGUGCCAGAGCCCUGCCAGCCUAAGGUGCCAGAGCCUUGUCAACCUAAGGUGCCAGAGCCUUGCCAGCCUAAGGUGCCAGAGCCUUGCCAGCCUAAGGUGCCAGAGCCUUGCCAGCCUAAGGUGCCAGAGCCCUGCCAGCCUAAGGUGCCAGAGCCCUGCCAUCCCAAGGCACCUGAGCCCUGCCACCCUGUUGUUCCCGAGCCCUGCCAGCCUGUUGCUCCUGAGCCCUGCCAGCCUGUUGUUCCUGAACCCUGCCCCCCAACUGUCACUCCAUCACCAUACCAGCAGAAGACAAAGCAGAAGUAAUAUUGUCCAUAGCCAAGCCUGAAGAUCUGAUCACCAGAUGCUGAGGCUGCUUUCCAUCCUGCUUAUGAGUCCCAUUGCCUUGUGCUACACAUGCUGUGACCUCCAGUCUUAAUCCUCCAUCCUUGCACCACCUAAAAAGUUGUCUCUCAUCCUCAUCCUCAAGAGUUCUCGAGCCACUCAACAUUACCCAAAGUCUCAUUGAAUGGCUAAUCUUUCCAUGGCUCAGGAUUCAUCUGAAUGGGGGUGGGGAAUAAGACAAGUAUAUGUUCAAUAUUCUUCCCCUCAUUAAACACCUUUUAACUCCAUACCUGG
rnacentral:lncRNA from 1 species